rnacentral:sRNA from 1 species
GACAACGUCCUUUUCGGCCGAUAAUCUUCGGGAUUAUAUAUGGAUGCAGCUUAGCUUAAGACUCUUGAAUUGAUCCUGUUUGGUCGCAUCUUCCGCAGCGGCGGCGUGUUUGCCGGCUGCAAUUUUGUCAAACCCACUGGGCUUCAUCGCCGGCUCUCUAUCAAUUGUGCAUUCUGAUGCCGAUAAAUCGAUUACAACUCUCUCUCUCUCUCUCUCUCUCUCUCACAUGUGGCCUGGUUCGGACGGACCCUUUUGCGUUCACAUCCUAGCACUGCACACACGAACCAGAACAACGCCGUGCGAUUAAGCUUUUUUCAGCAGAAUAUGGAAAGCCAUGCGCCCUGUCGCCGCUGCGACUUACCGCUAUCUGGGG